GGGUUGUGAGGUUAAGCGACUAAGCGUACACGGUGGAUGCCCUGGCAGUCAGAGGCGAUGAAGGACGUGCUAAUCUGCGAUAAGCGUCGGUAAGGUGAUAUGAACCGUUAUAACCGGCGAUUUCCGAAUGGGGAAACCCAGUGUGUUUCGACACACUAUCAUUAACUGAAUCCAUAGGUUAAUGAGGCGAACCGGGGGAACUGAAACAUCUAAGUACCCCGAGGAAAAGAAAUCAACCGAGAUUCCCCCAGUAGCGGCGAGCGAACGGGGAGCAGCCCAGAGCCUGAAUCAGUGUGUGUGUUAGUGGAAGCGUCUGGAAAGGCGCGCGAUACAGGGUGACAGCCCCGUACACAAAAAUGCACAUGCUGUGAGCUCGAUGAGUAGGGCGGGACACGUGGUAUCCUGUCUGAAUAUGGGGGGACCAUCCUCCAAGGCUAAAUACUCCUGACUGACCGAUAGUGAACCAGUACCGUGAGGGAAAGGCGAAAAGAACCCCGGCGAGGGGAGUGAAAAAGAACCUGAAACCGUGUACGUACAAGCAGUGGGAGCCUCUUUAUGGGGUGACUGCGUACCUUUUGUAUAAUGGGUCAGCGACUUAUAUUCUGUAGCAAGGUUAACCGAAUAGGGGAGCCGAAGGGAAACCGAGUCUUAACUGGGCGUUAAGUUGCAGGGUAUAGACCCGAAACCCGGUGAUCUAGCCAUGGGCAGGUUGAAGGUUGGGUAACACUAACUGGAGGACCGAACCGACUAAUGUUGAAAAAUUAGCGGAUGACUUGUGGCUGGGGGUGAAAGGCCAAUCAAACCGGGAGAUAGCUGGUUCUCCCCGAAAGCUAUUUAGGUAGCGCCUCGUGAAUUCAUCUCCGGGGGUAGAGCACUGUUUCGGCAAGGGGGUCAUCCCGACUUACCAACCCGAUGCAAACUGCGAAUACCGGAGAAUGUUAUCACGGGAGACACACGGCGGGUGCUAACGUCCGUCGUGAAGAGGGAAACAACCCAGACCGCCAGCUAAGGUCCCAAAGUCAUGGUUAAGUGGGAAACGAUGUGGGAAGGCCCAGACAGCCAGGAUGUUGGCUUAGAAGCAGCCAUCAUUUAAAGAAAGCGUAAUAGCUCACUGGUCGAGUCGGCCUGCGCGGAAGAUGUAACGGGGCUAAACCAUGCACCGAAGCUGCGGCAGCGACGCUUAUGCGUUGUUGGGUAGGGGAGCGUUCUGUAAGCCUGUGAAGGUGUGCUGUGAGGCAUGCUGGAGGUAUCAGAAGUGCGAAUGCUGACAUAAGUAACGAUAAAGCGGGUGAAAAGCCCGCUCGCCGGAAGACCAAGGGUUCCUGUCCAACGUUAAUCGGGGCAGGGUGAGUCGACCCCUAAGGCGAGGCCGAAAGGCGUAGUCGAUGGGAAACAGGUUAAUAUUCCUGUACUUGGUGUUACUGCGAAGGGGGGACGGAGAAGGCUAUGUUGGCCGGGCGACGGUUGUCCCGGUUUAAGCGUGUAGGCUGGUUUUCCAGGCAAAUCCGGAAAAUCAAGGCUGAGGCGUGAUGACGAGGCACUACGGUGCUGAAGCAACAAAUGCCCUGCUUCCAGGAAAAGCCUCUAAGCAUCAGGUAACAUCAAAUCGUACCCCAAACCGACACAGGUGGUCAGGUAGAGAAUACCAAGGCGCUUGAGAGAACUCGGGUGAAGGAACUAGGCAAAAUGGUGCCGUAACUUCGGGAGAAGGCACGCUGAUAUGUAGGUGAGGUCCCUCGCGGAUGGAGCUGAAAUCAGUCGAAGAUACCAGCUGGCUGCAACUGUUUAUUAAAAACACAGCACUGUGCAAACACGAAAGUGGACGUAUACGGUGUGACGCCUGCCCGGUGCCGGAAGGUUAAUUGAUGGGGUUAGCGGUAACGCGAAGCUCUUGAUCGAAGCCCCGGUAAACGGCGGCCGUAACUAUAACGGUCCUAAGGUAGCGAAAUUCCUUGUCGGGUAAGUUCCGACCUGCACGAAUGGCGUAAUGAUGGCCAGGCUGUCUCCACCCGAGACUCAGUGAAAUUGAACUCGCUGUGAAGAUGCAGUGUACCCGCGGCAAGACGGAAAGACCCCGUGAACCUUUACUAUAGCUUGACACUGAACAUUGAGCCUUGAUGUGUAGGAUAGGUGGGAGGCUUUGAAGUGUGGACGCCAGUCUGCAUGGAGCCGACCUUGAAAUACCACCCUUUAAUGUUUGAUGUUCUAACGUUGACCCGUAAUCCGGGUUGCGGACAGUGUCUGGUGGGUAGUUUGACUGGGGCGGUCUCCUCCUAAAGAGUAACGGAGGAGCACGAAGGUUGGCUAAUCCUGGUCGGACAUCAGGAGGUUAGUGCAAUGGCAUAAGCCAGCUUGACUGCGAGCGUGACGGCGCGAGCAGGUGCGAAAGCAGGUCAUAGUGAUCCGGUGGUUCUGAAUGGAAGGGCCAUCGCUCAACGGAUAAAAGGUACUCCGGGGAUAACAGGCUGAUACCGCCCAAGAGUUCAUAUCGACGGCGGUGUUUGGCACCUCGAUGUCGGCUCAUCACAUCCUGGGGCUGAAGUAGGUCCCAAGGGUAUGGCUGUUCGCCAUUUAAAGUGGUACGCGAGCUGGGUUUAGAACGUCGUGAGACAGUUCGGUCCCUAUCUGCCGUGGGCGCUGGAGAACUGAGGGGGGCUGCUCCUAGUACGAGAGGACCGGAGUGGACGCAUCACUGGUGUUCGGGUUGUCAUGCCAAUGGCACUGCCCGGUAGCUAAAUGCGGAAGAGAUAAGUGCUGAAAGCAUCUAAGCACGAAACUUGCCCCGAGAUGAGUUCUCCCUGACUCCUUGAG
rnacentral:rRNA from 1 species